AUUGAACGCUGGCGGCAUGCCUUACACAUGCAAGUCGAACGGCAGCACGGGGGCAACCCUGGUGGCGAGUGGCGAACGGGUGAGUAACAUAUCGGAACAUACCCUAGAGUGGGGAUAACGUAGCGAAAGUUACGCUAAUACCGCAUACGAUCUAAGGAUGAAAGUGGGGGAUCUUCGGACCUCAUGCUCAUGGAGUGGCCGAUAUCUGAUUAGCUAGUUGGUGAGGUAAAGGCUCACCAAGGCGACGAUCAGUAGCUGGUUUGAGAGAACGACCAGCCACACUGGAACUGAGACACGGUCCAGACUCCUACGGGAGGCAGCAGUGGGGAAUUUUGGACAAUGGGGGCAACCCUGAUCCAGCAAUG
rnacentral:rRNA from 1 species